rnacentral:rRNA from 1 species
AGCGAACGCUGGCGGCAGGCCUAAAACAUGCAAGUCGAACGCCGUAGCAAUACGGAGUGGCAGACGGGUGAGUAACACGUGGGAACGUGCCUUUUGGUUCGGAACAACCCAGGGAAACUUGGGCUAAUACCGGAUAAGCCCUUCGGGGAAGAUUUAUCGCCAGAAGAUCGGCCCGCGUCUGAUUAGCUAGUUGGUGGGGUAACGGCCCACCAAGGCUACGAUCAGUAGCUGGUCUGAGAGGAUGAUCAGCCACACUGGGACUGAGACACGGCCCAGACUCCUACGGGAGGCAGCAGUUAGGAAUCUUGGACAAUGGGCGCAAGCCUGAUCCAGCCAUGCCGCGUGAGUGAUGAAGGCCUUAGGGUUGUAAAGCUCUUUCAGCGGGGAAGAUAAUGACGGUACCCGCAGAAGAAGCCCCGGCUAACUUCGUGCCAGCAGCCGCAGU